rnacentral:RNase_P_RNA from 1 species
GCGGAUGGCCGGACGGCCGCGGCCUUCGCAAGAGGGGCGAGGAAAGUCCGGACUCCAUGAGGCGAGGGUGCCGGGUAACGCCCGGCCGGGGAAACCCGAGGGAAAGCGCCACAGAGAAGAGACCGCCCCCGUCCGCGGGGGUAAGGGUGAAACGGUGGGGUAAGAGCCCACCGCGGGACUGGCAACAGGACCGGCACGGCAAGCCCCACCCGGAGCAAUGCCGAAUAGGGGCCCCGCGCGGGUUUGAUCCUUGGCCUCGGCCUUGGAUAUCGCCGCAGGGACGCUUCAGCCCAGGGGCCCGGGUUGGCAGCUUGAGCCCGUCGGUAACGGCGGGCCUAGAGGAAUGGUCGUCGAAGGGGCUUCGGCCCCGGAACAAAAUCCGGCUUACAGGCCAUCCGCGCGU